UACGUAGGCAGCGAGCGUUGUUCGGAGUUACUGGGCGUAAAGAGUGCGUAGGCGGUUUUCUAAGUUUGGUGUGAAAGCUCCCGGCUUAACUGGGAAAUUGCAUCGGAAACUGAUCGGCUGGAAGGUGGGAGAGGGUAGCGGAAUUCCCGGUGUAGUGGUGAAAUGCGUAGAUAUCGGGAGGAACACCAGUGGCGAAAGCGGCUACCUGGCCCAUUCUUGACGCUGAGGCGCGAAAGCUAGGGGAGCAAACGGG
rnacentral:rRNA from 1 species